UACGGGGGGGGCAAGCGUUGUUCGGAAUUACUGGGCGUAAAGGGCUCGUAGGCGGCCAACUAAGUCGGACGUGAAAUCCCUCGGCUUAACCGGGGAACUGCGUCUGAUACUGGAUGGCUUGAGUGUGGGAGAGGGAUGCGGAAUUCCAGGUGUAGCGGUGAAAUGCGUAGAUAUCUGGAGGAACACCGGUGGCGAAGGCGGCAUCCUGGACCAUUACUGACACUGAAAAGCGAAAGCCAGGGGAGCAAACGGG
rnacentral:rRNA from 1 species